rnacentral:rRNA from 1 species
UACGUAGGGUGCAAGCGUUGUCCGGAAUUAUUGGGCGUAAAGAGCUCGUAGGCGGUCUGUUGCGUCCGCUGUGAAAACUCGGGGCUUAACCCCGAGCCUGCAGUGGAUACGGGCAGACUAGAGGUAGGUAGGGGAGAAUGGAAUUCCCGGUGUAGCGGUGAAAUGCGCAGAUAUCGGGAGGAACACCGGUGGCGAAGGCGGUUCUCUGGGCAUGAUCUGACGCUGAGGAGCGAAAGUGUGGGGAGCGAACAGG